CUAACCUCUCAAUAACAUCGACCCUCGUCUCGUCUAUCAAGACUAUGUCAUCAGCAAAUAGCAUACACCAAGGCACAUCCCUUGAAUAUGUCAGUUUAGAGCAUCCAUCACCAAGGCAAACAAGAGAGGGCUAAGCGCCAAUCCUUGAUGGAGCCCCAUAACCACUUGGAAAAUGGUCUGAUUCGCCACCCACCGUCCUAACCCUAGUCUUAACGCCAUCGUACAUGUCCUUAAUUACUCUGAUGUAGGCUUCCAGCACGCUCUUCG
rnacentral:lncRNA from 1 species